ensembl:lncRNA
CCCGUGUUUACGCUUGUGUGCGCGCACGUUCUUUACCAGCGUAAACCGCAGCUUGGACAGGGACAAUGAGGAUAUGUACGGAGCAUGUCCUUCUGGAGCUUCACAGGUCGCACAAGUCUUCAUAUUUUCUUUCCACAGCCACUGUUUCAUUUUAACUGCGCCCCGCGUGCCCACAGCGCGAGCCUUUCACGCGCCGCAACUCAUCCAGAGGCGCGCAAUGAAAACACGAGCCUGGCCGCUUUAUAGCCCUCCGGAGACCGAUGAGCUCGACCUGACCCUCUUAAAUACGAGAGAAGUGUGGUUCAGGUCUGGGUUUUACCUCCCCGAGGGGGGUUGACAUGGAGGAAAGAGACAGCAGUGUGUGACCGCCAGCCCUCACUUCGCAUGGACUUCACGGACCCACACAGCACUGCGCACGGAGAGGAGGACAAAGAGAGAGAGAGAAGGCCGAGCACCGGAAAACCCCUCACGUUGGCUAUUUCCCCACGUUCUGGUCAAAUAAAAUCCACCCGUCUGGGAACUCACCUCUAUCCUCGUGUCGUGUGCUUCUUCAAUGCGGGCAUAGCAGUGAAGAAGCUACCGACCAGGAUACCCCCACAUUCCUUAUCACCCCACUUGGAUUUCGACGGACGUUUUUUUGGGGGUUUUUUUUGGGCUCACGUUUCCCUCCUGUUUCCACAGGUGGCACUCCUCCCCCGAAGAAGGAAGACCUGCUCAAGCACCUCACCGAAGUGAGCAUCCCCCAGCAGCAGAUCAUGGAGCACAUGGCCUCCCGACAAGGGGAAACGGAACGCGAGCUCGCCGCACUCCGCAUGACCGCUGCCCUGCGAACUCCGCUACCUGACCCC